rnacentral:misc_RNA from 1 species
AAAAAUAAAAUAAAAUAAAAAUAAUAAUUAAAAAAAAACAGUGAAAGGGGAACAAAAUAGAAGAAAAUUUAAGUGUAAUUGAGACAAACUACUCAGACUCAGCUAGCAAACAUAUUCACCGAGUGGAGUUCAAACACGAGUAGCAAGUGAAGCCAAAUUUAAGUAUGAUAAUGCUCGACCAAAGUAGUUCGGGAGCCUAAUCAAGUAUUUCAAAUAUAUUUUAUACUAUACUAUUUAAACAAUAAUUUAUGAUAUUAAGUUUCAACUCAAGCCUUAAUUCAAGAUCAAUAACUUUAAUAGCAAUUGAGUUAAGUUUGAGUGUCCAACUGAGUUGUGAAUGAACAUGAAAAGAUAGGAAUACAGGAUUAGAUCAAGCUUGAGUUGAGUUUUCUAAUCAAAUCAAGUUAGAGUAGUAGUACAUUUUAUUGAUUUGACUUGGCUGGACAGCACCCCUAUGAAUAUUGAACCAAUGGUAAUCUAGAUUUUAGAAAGGCCCUCUUGAUAUCCAUAUUCAGUUAAUCUACAAACCAGGAUUAACUUCAGAUACUCAUCAUCUAUGUUCAACUUCAACUACUCAGCUUUUAGAGCGGCGCCAACCUUUUGUAAACACAUGGUGAUACACUCAUCUCCUGUAGUAGACCAAUCUGCAAAAGGUAAAUGAAAGUUAGCAAAUCAACAUUAAUGUAAAAUCCAAAAAAAAGAAAUGCAAAUCACCAACUAGUGACCAUUAACUAGUGACCAUUAAGUAGCCAGGAGUAGAAGGAUCAGGCAACUCAUAUUGUGUGAAAUUGCAACGAACAAUAUUUUCCAUUUGGAUGCAGCUGGAAGGGAUCAAUUCACGAUGCCUAAGCAAAUUCGUCUUCCAAGAUCAGAAGCUUCCUUCCAGUGAAUUAAAACUGAGAAUAGGAUGAAGUUUUACUCUCAUUGCCACUUUUUUUAAAAAAAUUGCUGACCAAAAUAUACCAUGUUACAUCAUUAGGUACAAAGUCAUUCUUGACACUUUGAUGGAGGAGUAAACAUGCAUCGUCAAACAUUCCAUCUCUGCAAUGCCAACAAAUCAAAGUGUUAUAAGUAAUAGCAUCAGGUUGUAUUCCUUCAACCUGCAAUUUGUCAAAGAGAUUGACAGCCUCCCGAAUGUUCCCCAUCUUGCAUAAACCAUUAAUCAGGCUGUUGUAGCUGACAAUGUCAGGUGCCAAUCCUCGAUGAAUCAUAUCCCUUAGAAGCUCAAGUGCAUUACGUACUUUGCCAACUCUACAAAGGCCAUUGAUCAAUAUAUUGCAUGAGAUAUUACUGGGAAUUAGAUCCUUCCUGAUCAUUUCUUCAAACAAUCCCAAUCCUUUCUCAAUGGCCCCAGCUUUGCAGAAUGCUUUUAUUAGGCCAUUGUAAGUGAUUUUAUCAAGAGGGCAUCCUCUGAACAACAUAUCAUUUACAAGCUUAAGUGCUUCUUGAAUUGCACCUCUCCUCAAAAAAGCAUGAAUCAAUGUGUUGUAAGUUACAGUAUUGGCAAUAGCACCCUCCAAUAACAUAUCACGAUAGAGUCCUAAGGCUUCCUCCAUCUCAUCAACCUUGCAUAAACCAAAUAUUAGAGUAUUAAAUGUAAAUAUGUCAGGCUUACAUCCUUUGCUUGACAUUUCACCAAGCAUCUCCAAAGCUUCAUGAACCUUCCCACCCUUGCAUAAAGCACAUAUUAGGGUGUUGUAUCCCUCUAAACUCAAACCAAGUCCCUUAGCUGACAUCUCAUUUAAAACAUGACCAGCUUCAUCUAAUUGACCUUUCUUACAGAACCCAUCAAGCAAAAUAGUGUAUGUCAUUACAUUAGGCUUGCAACCACUGACAGCCAUCUCAUCAACCAAUUCAAGAGCUGAACCCAUAAGCCCCUUCUUGCAAAACCCAUGUAUCAGUAUGUUAAAUGUGAAAAGAUCAGGCCUACAUCCAUCAUUUAACAUCUUAUCAUACAAAAAACCCUUAGCUUCAUCCAAGCGGCCACUCUUUACAUAUCCAUUAAUCACGAUAUUGAAGUGCACUGUAUUUGGAACAGGGAUUUUGUUCAACAACACCUGGGCUUCAUCUACUUGUGCCGCUCUACACAACCCAUGCAUUAGAACUCCAUAAGUCAUAUCAUUCGGGGUGAAACCUCGGACAAGCAUGCGGUCAACCAAUUUUGCCCCCU